CCCCUGAUGGUCCAGUGGUUAAGACUUUGCACUUCCAAUGCAGCGGGCAACAGGUUCAAUCCCUAGUCAGGAAA
rnacentral:tRNA from 1 species